UGGCGCACGGGUGCAUAACGCGUGGGAAUCUGCCCUUGGGUUCGGAAUAACUUCGGGAAACUGAAGCUAAUACCGGAUGAUGACGUAAGUCCAAAGAUUUAUCGCCCAAGGAUGAGCCCGCGUAGGAUUAGCUAGUUGGUGAGGUAAAGGCUCACCAAGGCUACGAUCCUUAGCUGGUCUGAGAGGAUGAUCAGCCACACUGGGACUGAGACACGGCCCAGACUCCUACGGGAGGCAGCAGUGGGGAAUAUUGGACAAUGGGCGAAAGCCUGACCCAGCAAUGCCGCGUGAGUGAUGAAGGCCUUAGGGUUGUAAAGCUCUUUUACCCGGGAAGAUAAUGACUGUACCGGGAGAAUAAGCCCCGGCUAACUCCGUGCCAGCAGCCGCGGUAAUACGGAGGGGGCUAGCGUUGUUCGGAAUUACUGGGCGUAAAGCGCACGUAGGCGGCUUUGUAAGUUAGAGGUGAAAGCCCGGGGCUCAACUCCGGAAUUGCCUUUAAGAC
rnacentral:rRNA from 1 species